AGAAAAAAUCAAAUAGGCACCCCCUCUUUAGCACCGGUUCUUGAAAACUGGUGCCAAAAGAAAAGGGUGGGAUUGGAAAAUAGGGAUUAGGCACCAGUUCUAACCAAAACCGGUGCCUACUCAUUUAAUUAGCACCGGUUCAAACCGGUGCCAACCUUAAAAAAAACAGAAAAAAAAAAAACAAAGAAAGCAAUAGAGUUGGCAUCGGUUCGCCUUAAACCGGUGCGAACUUUAGUAAUUAGCAUCGGUUUGAACCGGUACCAUUAAAAAAAAAAGCCCGGUUUAUAAUGCGCGUCUUCUUCUUCAUCAUGUCCUUGCUCUUUCCUCUUCUCAUUUAAUCUGCCUCUCUCUCUCCUCCAUUGUAGCAUACUUGAAUUUCUCCAUUGAAGGGACUUCAGAGCUUUCUCUCAGCACUUUCCUAACACUCCAUCUCUCUCCUUCGAUCUCCUUAUCCAUAACCGCCACUUUCCCUUUCCUUUCUUCUCUCUUUCGAUCUCCUUCUAUCUUUCUACAAUAUUGGAGGUUAGGGUUUCUGCGGCAAGGUGUUGAGAUAUGGAUAAUAAUGAUAAAUGGCGUCGUUUCAUUCUAUGGUGUUCAAGGAAUCAGAAAGCCUUGAAGGGAAAUGUAUUAAGAUUGAGGGUUAUGAUUUUAAUCAAGGAGUGAACUAUCCCAAGCUUUUGAAAUCGUUCGUCUCAACCGGUUUCCAAGCAUCUAAUCUUGGUGAUGCUAUCGAUGUUGUAAAUCAAAUGAUUGGUGGCUGGCAAAUGAAAUACCCGAUGAAGAUUGCAGAAAGGAAGAGAAGGAUCCUGUUUAUAGGGAAUCUGUGGGGUGCAAAGUGUUUUUAGGUUUUACCUCGAAUCUUAUAUCUUCUGGUGUUCGUGACACUGUUCGAUAUCUUACUCAACAUCAUAUGAUCUAUUCAAAAAUCAAACUGCUACCAUAAAGAAGGGCACCAAGCAUCUUGUUCUUAUGGAGAUGGCAUUUACAUGCUGCUAUUUGGAUGUGUUCAGAUCAUAAUGUCUUAGACACCUGAUUUCCACAACAUGAAAUGGCUUUCUAUCUUGGCAGCCAUCAUGUCAAUUGCCUCCUCAACCAUUGGAUUGGCUCUCGGCUUUGCUACCGUGAUUGGUGAUCAAUCCCAUAUAUUUCAUUGAUUUUUUAUUACUAUGUACUUGCAGGGAUUCAACUCUAGAAUCGAAGAUGUCAGAGAGGAAAUGUACUUGCUUUUUUUAUCACUGAUUUUUACUUGGUUUGUCCACUUGAUUUGCUUUCUCUCUCUAAUUUUAUUUUUAUUUUAAUUUUCUCUCUCUAGAUUACUUUGAUCUGGUGGUGGAUCUAUUAGUACAUUAGGGAUACAUGUAAUGCGAUUGGAGUGGUAAAAUAGUAUUGUGGUACUGGUUCUGUAUUUUGCCUUAGUGGGCUGUGACAAAUAGCUACAUGUGCUUAGCUGGGAUAGUUGAUCUUGUUUCUUAGAUUAUACUUGGAUGGGUUUUUUCUUUACUUAAUGCAUUGCUGAUAAAAUGAUGUAAGAGUGAGAAUAUAUAGUUCCUACGAUGUUAUUUGAAAUAGCAAAUAUGUUGUUCUGUCCUUUUUCUAUGGGAACCAAGUGGUGAUAGAGCUGUUUAAAGUGGUGUACCUCUAAUUCAUGGCUGUCUGAGUAGUAUUGUCAAUAUUUUUGGCUCUCAUAACUGAAAUGCAGGUUAUUGUUGGCUACCUCCUUGGUGAUUGGGCCAGGAGGUCUAAAUUGUAUCAGUGAAAUGGUCUAGGUGAAGUUAGACUGCCUUGUUUCUUUAUAAAUAUAAUAGAAAUUCUAUGACGUGCUCUGCUUAUAACUUGUCGUGAGUAUUUUUUCCUAUGAUUUACGAAUAUUUAGUUUUUCGUGCUCUUCUUCAGCUUUUGUGGUGGCCUCAAUAUCAUAUUUUAUGUCAAGGUCAUUAAAUCCACAUAAGUAUUUUAAAGACGGCAUGUAGAGAAGGAAAUAUGUAGUUUAUUGUACAACAGUGAACAUAGAACAUAGGAAAAUUGUGGAGGAAAAUAGUCGGAGGAGGUGUUUGUGGGUUCUUUCCUAUCUAUGUCGUCAACAGAUUCAGGAGGUAAAAUAGGAAAGGGAAGGCCUGAUUCAUGCUCUUGUUCUUCUACACCUGUUUUUCUUGGUGGCCUAUUUUUCUAUUUGUUUCUUCUCUGUGUGCCUUGCUGAAUUCUGGAUUUGGCGUGUGUUCUAGAGUCUGUUCAGCUUUGAUUCAUGCCAUGAGUCUGUCUUUUCUAUCUGCUGGGUUGAGUUGCUGUUUCUCUAGCUCUUGUUUUGUCUAUUGUGUGCUGUUGCAGGCUGUGUUCUACUGAGAUGCUGAGCUAGUCAGUGUGUUGGGGUUGUUUGACUGUUCCUGUGCUUGCUCAGAGCUUCUGUUUUUUCUGUCCCUGUUGGUUUGCUAUGGUCUGUCUACUUGCUGGCCUGUUGUGUAGCUGUUCAGUGUUCCUGAGCUUGGUUCUGAUAUGGUGGCAACUGUGCUGGUGUCUUUGCUCUGGUGUAGUUUGUGUUUCUGUGACCCUGGGACUGUUCUUUUCUGCUAUGAUGUUGUUUGCGUUUGGUCUGGUCAGUUUUUUCAGUUGUGGUUUUGCUUAUUUGCUUUGCUCUGAUUCUGUGUUGCUGAGUGCUAGGUUUUAUGGGCCGAUCCUUGAAGCUUUCUACUCAGCUGGUGCUGUCAGACUGCUGUUCUUCAGGGACCUACUGGUGUCUGCUCUGCACUAGUUGGGCUACUAAUUUGGGUGUUGUACAGUAGUGGUGUGGUUUGGUGCUGCUGUUUUGGUGGGCUGCGAGGUUGUAAUAUUAAUUAAUUUUAUUCGGACGAAAAUUGUAAUAUUACAGCCUUUUUAAUGAA